AUUGAACGCUGGCGGCAGGCCUAACACAUGCAAGUCGAGCGGAUGAAGGGAGCUUGCUCCUGGAUUCAGCGGCGGACGGGUGAGUAAUGCCUAGGAAUCUGCCUGGUAGUGGGGGAUAACGUCCGGAAACGGGAGCUAAUACCGCAUACGUCCUGAGGUAGAAAGUGGGGGAUCUUCGGACCUCACGCUAUCAGAUGAGCCUAGGUCGGAUUAGCUAGUUGGUGGGGUAAAGGCCUACCAAGGCGACGAUCCGUAACUGGUCUGAGAGGAUGAUCAGUCACACUGGAACUGAGACACGGUCCAGACUCCUACGGGAGGCAGCAGUGGGGAAUAUUGGACAAUGGGCGAAAGCCUGAUGCAGCCAUGCCGCGUGUGUGAAGAAGGUCUUCGGAUUGUAAAGCACUUUAAGUUGGGAGGAAGGGCAGUAAGUUAAUAUCUGGCUGUUUUGACGUUACCAACAGAAUAAGCAACGGCUAACUUCGUG
rnacentral:rRNA from 1 species